rnacentral:rRNA from 1 species
AGCAGCCGCGGUAAUUCCAGCUCCAAUAGCGUAUAUUAAAGUUGUUGCAGUUAAAAGCUCGUAGUUGAAUUUCGGGGUCAAUACGUCGGUCGUGCCUCGGUACGCACUGACGUUAUCGAUCCCUCCCUUCUGACGAACCGUGAUGUCAUUAAUUUGGUGUUGCGGGGAAUCAGGACUGUUACCUUGAAAAAUUAGAGUGUUUAAAGCAGGCAAUCGCUCGAAUACAUUAGCAUGGAAUAAUGAAAUAGGACGUUCGAACCUAUUUUGUUGGUUUCUAGGAUCGACGUAAUGAUUAAUAGGGAUAGUUGGGGGCAUUAGUAUUCAAUUGUCAGAGGUGAAAUUCUUGGAUUUAUUGAAGACUAACUACUGCGAAAGCAUUUGCCAAGGAU